UAUCCCUCCGCAGAGCUGGGUCUGGCCGCGGGCGGGGAAGCAGGAAGUAAGGUGUCCAGCGCCGCGGCCGGCUGGUCCUCCGCCGCGGCCCCCGCCCGCGUCCCCUUUACCCCUGGGCGCAGCGCUCCGGCGGGCGCGGGCCGCCCGGCGUAUUGUUCGCAGCCUUCGCGGCGGUGCGCUGCUGACUUUAUUUGUGCGCUUUGCGUGUGCGUGAGGUUGCACCUUUUGUAGGCUGGCGAGUCUCUGGAUGAGGAUGGGACGGGGGACACGGGCCCAGUUGCGGCCCUGCGCGAGCGGGACCUGUCAGCCCCGAGGUGCAGCGGACUUUCCGGCGUGGCCGGAAAAUCGAGGUUGAAUGCAUUCACGUGGUUCCAAAUUCAAAUAAACAGCAAGAAGUCUCCCUCCCACCCUGUCUGCCACCCACUUGGUUUUCCUUCUCUGGAGGCAACCUGGGUUAGUGGUCAGAAGACACGUUUAACUGUUUUCCAGCUGAGGCCUCGUGAGAACUCCUCGGACACCAAUUUAAAUCUUUAUUUCUAGGACUCCUUUCUCCAAUCCAGAAAUGAGGUUCCACCAUCUUGCCCAGACUGGUUUCAAACUCCUGGACUCAAGCGAUCUGCCUGCCUCGGCCUCAAAAAGUGCUGGGAUUACACCCAUGAGCCGCCUCACCCGGACCCUGUCUCUUAAAUAGUGGCCUUUUUACCUCUCUGCAACACAGGAAAAAUUCUGGUAGCCCGCAUCAGAAGGAGUGGCAUGGAGGCUUUGGAGUUAAGCAGAUUUAAUUCAAAUUAUGUGUCCGGUGCCUGCCAGCAAUGAGACCUUGGUAAGGGUUCUUAACCUCUCUGAGCUGGGACCAUACCUUCUGCAUUGGUUUAAUACGAAGGUUAAAUGCAUGUAAAUAAAUGACUUCUAAAAUAAAUAACAUUCUAAAAUGUUAGUAACAAGUAAAUACAAUAUUUAGAU